AUGGAGACUCUUCUACAAGUACUCAUAGGAGUAUUGGAGUUGCAGGCAGCCUGGGUCAGUAGUCAAGAAGUGCAGCAGAGUCCACAGUCUCUGAACAUCCGAGAGGGAGAAGAUUUUAUCAUAAACUGCAAUGCAUCAAAGACUUUAUAUGCCUUUCACUGGUACAGGCAAAAGCAUGGUGAAGGUCUGAUCUCCUUGAUGGUGAUACAGAAAAGUGGGGAAGAAAUACAUUAUGAAAAAAUGACUGCCAAGUUGGAUGAGAAAAAGCAGCAAAGUUCCUUGCAUAUCACAGCCUCACAGCCCAGCCACUCAGGUAUCUACCUCUAUGGAGCAGAGGCACAGUGA